rnacentral:lncRNA from 1 species
UGCAGUUCUCUGAGAGUGAUCCUGGUGACCCUGAGCUUGAUAUGUCAUCUAUUUCCUCUUCACUACAAGCAGAAGAGCCAUCAGUUCCAGCAACCUUUUGUCCAACUUCUAGCCUUUGGUUAUCAUGAGCCAAGACAAGCGGCUUCACAUCAGAAGGUAACUUGGCCAGUAGAAAGCUUUGAGUUUCUUUGUUGGCGUGUUUUGGGAUAUAGUCGUUCAGACUCCCCUUAAUCCUCCAUCUUGAUCCACAAGCAUUGCACAGCACUGGCUUUUCAGGUGGUCCAGGUCUCCAAAGUGGAGUAUCUGUUUAAGUUCACAGUUCAUCAGCGCUGAAACUAUGAAACAACUAUAAAGGAAUUCUCUACAGCUGAUAAAGUUGUCCCAGAAACUGCUCAAGCAUAGAAUAAUUGAAAACAACUAUGAACAUAGAGCAAUAAAUCAGAAGUAUUAUGAAACUAAAGCUACAGCGAUUUUUUGGCAAAACCAGUGGAAAGCGCAUCCAUGUAAGAUAUGCCUCGACUUUUAAGAAUAUGUAAAAGAAAGUUUGUCCUUUGCAUUUUCUUCACCAGUUAAAGGACCCAUACAAAUUGAGGUAAACGGUGGUCGACAAAUGAUUAAAUGAAUAUGAAUCAUGAAGUAAAAUGAGUAAAGACAAUAGGUCUUGUUCAAAUCAGGAAACAUCAGAGAUUUGCACUGUAAAAAAGCUCAUGGAUUGACGCUUCACGGCCGUCAUAGACUGUCCACUUUGUCCUAAUUAACUGUGAAGAUAUAUUUUUCAGACUGCUGGCUUUGUCCUAAUUAACUGUGAAGAUAGGAUGCCUUACACUCAUCAUAAACAGACUCGCAGAUUGAGGCUUCAUAGCCUUCUUGUCCAUCAAAUACUGUAUCCAAACAAGCAUGAUGACAUACCCUUCUUCUACAUAAGUGUUAGAGAUAUUCGUAGAAUCUUGGACUAACUUUGGAGGGAGAGCAAGAAAAGAUCGCUAUGCAAUUUGGAUAUCACAAAUUAUCGAGAAAGACUAUACUUGUUUGAAGUAUUUUAUUGGCUUUAUGUAUUCCUCUUCCUUACAUAAUGGUGGCAAUCUCUAUUUCUAUUACGAAUCUGUUGCUUUAUAUGUGUUACUAGUUAUGCGUUUGCUUCAGGAGGCCAGUAUUUUGACUGCACUCGAUAUCGAGAACACAGGCGUUAUAGUGGGUAAUUCUCACUUUUCAUUUUAAAUUUUUCCCUCUUGGCCAUCCAACUUAUGUCACUAGAGAUUCUAGUCUACUGCCUUGGUUUAGUUCGUGUCAUAUAACAUGGCUUUCUGAAAAUGCUUAGUGUCAAAUCAUUCAUUGGCUAAUCAAAUUUGGCUGCUCAAAGAGAUUUUAAGGAAGAGCUAUGGAACCAGUUUUGCAACUGCAUUUUACUGCCUAAUAUUUCUUAGGAUUUUGUGUAUAAAGCAUGAAACAAGCUGUCAAUACAUAUUGACUUUAGUUUAAUGCUUUCUUAGUGUAUGGCAAAGCUACUGGCGAGGUGGUACUUUGAUUUCAUCUCUUACCUCUAAUGAUACAAGUUCUUAUGAUUUCACUUCCUGCAGGAUUCCUAAGGGAUACAUACCUAUCAGGAGACCACAUGUUCAAAGGUAAUAAAACAAUGUAAUCAAUGUCAAUCUGGUAUCAGUUGGUCCCUUUCCAUCCUUUUCUUUUUGGGAAAAAUAAUAUAUUUCCAGAUAUAUGCCUAGGUCUUGUUAAUCGAAACACUGAACAAAGACUUAUUCCUGUAAGAACAUCAAAAGCUGGUUAAAAUGCCGAUGCACUCUCCAACCAUGAUCAGCGAACAUUUGGUAAUUACACUUUAUACUUCACACUUCUUAUACUGUGGUCUUUGAGUUUUAAAUAUUGACUGAGGGCAUUAUUGUAAAGUUAUAUGUCAAUAAACAAUAGCAUGAAAAUCGCAUGUGCACAUUCAGUACUUUCUCCUCUGUGUCUGUGGCACUCUCAUUUCAUUUUCUGUUAGGCAAAACCCCGGAAACUGCUACAAUUAAGACUUAAGGAUCAUUGCCAAAAGUUUAAAUAAAUGGGAAUAAAUAGUGUGAUGCAUAUGAUUGGGGACCGACUGUGCAAUUAUCCUAUAUGAAUUCACUGCACGUGAAACUAAUGGUUGCUGUAUCUGAAAUCAACUGCUAUUUGAGUGGAGAGGUAACAAAGUUAAAGAAGUUCCAUUUUAUUCAUCCAAACAGAUAAAUCGUUUUAGGAAAUUCUAAAUAUCGGGUGUCAUGCAUGCAAGUUUUAAAUUCCAGUAAGAUCAGAGAGAAAAAUUAAGCAUUUGAAAUUCUGUAUCUUGACGAUUGAUAUCAACAAGAAACAUUCAAUUGAAGAACGAGAUGGAAGAUAAACAUGCAAGAUGUGAUAAAGGUUGUCAAAAGAACUCACGCCUGACACCACAAUGGAAACACGGCCCUUCUCUUCCCAUGAGAUGUGCUUGCAGAGGAUUCAGGUUUGACUAUGCUGUUGCUAACCGUUAAGCUUCCAAAAUUGUUGCCAGAAUUUAAAACAUAUGAGUGAGAACACAAAGUAACCAAAUGGAAAAAGGAACUGAAAAUAAAUUCAGUAGGCUAACAGCUGAUCGUUUCCGUGGCAAUAGAUUAUAGCUUUGUCAUUAACUACUAUCCUAUUUGCAAUAGUACCAUACUCCACUUUGGACAGCUCAUCAAAUUUUACUCGAGAACAUUUUCUCAAAAAUUGACACGAUAACUCCAACAGGAAGAACUUAAAAGCUCUUAGAUGUGGUAAAUCUUACCAAUUAGGCCUUUUGUCAAGCACUCAAGCCUUAUUACCGAUGAAUCUGAAGGCAAGAAACUAUAGAAAGUUUUUAGACUUUAUUUAAAUGAUAGAGUUGAGCAAAUAACAGAGGCGAAAAGACAAUGCUGAUCUUAGUAUUCUGGAAAUUCUGGUCUGAUUGAGAUUUGAAAAAUCCAAGGAGAAAGGGCCACAAAUUACAUUACUAAACAGAUUCAGAAAAGAAAGAAUGUAUUCAAUUUCAUUCCAAUUCUGGAAAUUGUAGGAAUCAGAUUUAGAUUUGAAAAAUCCAAGGAGAAAGGCUCACUAUUACAUCACUUAGCAGAUUCGGAAAUGCAUUCUGUUUCUUUCCAAUUCUGCAUUUCUGCACUGUUUCCCCUGCACCAAUACACAGGUUGAAAAACCUUUCUGCCUAGUUUUGUGAUUGGUCUGGUUGAGAGUACUGCAGGUGGAUACAGGUCACAGAGACUUAGAUAUACAUUCAUAUUUGGUAACGAAACCUCAUUUCUUGAAGCACAUUCAGAAAACAUAAAUAUAAGCACUGAGUUGGUUUUUUCCGUGUUAAUUUUCAGAAAAUUUAAUUGCUGAUACUGUUGGGUCAUGUUUGGGAUUCGAUUGUCUAUUUUCGUCUUCUUGAGCUGAGGGUCUCUCGGAAACAACCUCUCUACCUCUCCAGGGUAGGGGUAAGGUCUGCGUACAUUCUACCCUACCCAGACCCCACUUGUGGGAUUUUACUGGGUUGUUGUUGUUGGGUCAUGUUCACUCAGCUAUCUGCAGUUUGCAAAUGCUUGUGUCUUAGGGACUUCCUGAACUUGAAGGUUCUCUCUUCUGCUUGGCAUUUUUGUUGUUAAUUUAAGAGGAACUUACUACAACUUCUGAUGUCCCAAGAAGUGCUUCUGCAAUCUUUUUCCGUAACGCGAUAUCAGUGGCGGAGCCACCUUACAGGAAGGGGUGUCAAAUGACACCCCUUCGCGGGAAAAAUUCACCGUGUAGCUAGGUAAAAAAAUAAUUAUAUGUAUAUGUACUAUGUAUUGACUCCCCUUAAUGUUUUGGUAUGCUUACUUUUAUAUAUUUUGACACCCCUUAACGAAAAUUCUGGCUCCGCCACUGCGCGAUAUGACUCAUCUGCGCAAGAAUGCCCCUGCUGUUGAGAUGCUAUUCAAUUACGAAUCUGUGCUUAGUUUAACACAGUCAUGUAUGUCUCCGUUUUCGAAACUUCAUGCAUCUAGCAUAUUCAUGUUAUUAAUGUUGUUUCUCUAACUUGCUUACAGAAAUAAGAAUAUUUAUUUCAGAAAUGCAUUACAUAUCCAUGCUAUACAGAGAAGAUUGAUAUUUUUGCCUGCUCAUUUGGCAUAGCAUGAUCCUUUACAGAAUCUUUAAGUGAAGCACUUCCAAAAUUUUGAUAUAUUUUGGUAAUAACCUCCGCUGCAUGUAAGGGUGGCAAGUGGAUCGGUCCGGGCCCGGGACCGUUGGCCUAGUGGGCUAAGUGGGCCGGGACCGGUAGGACCACUAGAGGUGGGCUUGGGCCGGUUCUUGCCUUUGAACCGUUAGGACCGGGUAAAUGAAAAUAGCCAACGGUUAUUUUNAAAAAUAACCGUUGGCUAUUUUCAUUUAACCCCAAACUUUUUAUAAUUACAUCUUUUCCUUAUUUUCAACUAUAAAUACCCCCUCAUUCUUUCAUUUUUCUUACAAUAUCAAUAUCAAUCUAUCACAAUCUCAUUCCAUAGGGGGAGGAAGACUAAGAAAGAUAUUACCAUAUUUUUUUAAUGCUAUAAUAAAAUUACAAGGCAUUGCUUUGAAUAUCUCUUUACAAUAUUUUUGUCUUUAAAUUUGAAUUAAAAAAUUUAGGUCACAAUUCUAUAAUAAAUUUACAAGGUAUUGCAUUAGAUAUUUUUUUAACAUUUUUUUGCCUCUAAUUUCUAUUUAAAUUUUUUUUUUAAAAUCAAUUUUUAACCGUUGGGCCCACGGGCCUGGCCCGUUUAGCCCGGGACCAUGAGUUCGUGGGCCCGGUUCCGGACCGGUUCCUACAAAAAGACCGUUUAGUCCGGGAUCGUUAAGCCCAUUUAUUUAAGGACCGACCCGGGACCACGGCCCACUUGGCCCGCUUAGGGCCCAGACCGACCCACAUGCCACCCCUAGCUGCAUGUAUGGAGAAACUUAAGUCUUGUGGUUCUUAACAAUUUAGGCUACUAUCUCAGAAGUUAAGAAGCUCUUUAUCACAGAAUUGGUGUCGUUCAUCCUUGGUAGCAAAAAUGUGUUUGUCCUUGUUUGCCUGAUUUAGAAAAGUUAGGAUUCAGGCGAAUAAUUGUCUGAAGUGUAUGCUGUAGGUCUGACCUACUACAACUUUGUAGCUACAAAUUCAAUUUGGUGUACGUGGGGCAGUUAUGAAUGACUAUGCCAUUGAGUAUGAUUUGAACUAACUCCAAAGCGAAGGUGGGAAAUGAGGAAAUUUUAUCAUCCAUGUUAUGUGUUAUCCAGAUGUCUUUCUUAUGGUGCUUACUCUAUAUUUCAUCAUAUGCUUAUGCAAUGUGGAUUUGCAGCGUUUGACGAAGUUCCUCUGCACAUUCUCCAUCGGGUUCCUGCCCAGCUUCAAGGUAGUGUAUUUUCCAGAACUAAUACAAUGUGCUUCUCAGAAUCACAGGCUCACCAGUAUCAUGCAACAUCCUCGGUAUCAAAGAAAUUUACCCCUGCUCUGAUUGAAGUGGUCGAUGAUUUACUUGUUUUGUCGAAUGGUCACAUAUAUCCACUCUACAAGAAACAAAAGGGAGUGUUUUCUUGGAUACAAGAAUUUUUAAGUGUUUGCAGCAAAAUGUCUUUUUAUGAUGUUUUCAACUUAUAUCGGCUGUUCCCCCACCCCCUCUGUGUGUGUGUGUGUGAGUGUCCGCGCAUGAGAGAGAUAUAUGGGAGCUUGGUUGAAGCUGGUGUUGUGGCUAUAUACUAAACCAUAUGCUGUUUAUCUUUGCAGGUUCGAUGUGCCUUUUCAGAUUUGCUCUUUGUUGUUCAUGAUGACUUAACUAGACAGACUUUACAGGCAUACUUUGUAAUUGGUAGGUAACAUGCCCAGUAUAAUCCCACAAGUAGGGUCUGGGGAGGGUAGUGUGCACGCAGACCUUACCCCUACCUGGCGAGGUAGAGGCUGUUUCCAAUAGACUCUCGGCUCUAGAAAAGAUGAAAAGAGAGAGAAGGGAAGAAGACGAAGAAGAAAGAAAGAAAGAAUAGGGAGGCAAGGAUGAUAAGAAAAAGGAAAAAUAAAACACAACACAAACAAUAAGUAAAAGAAAAAGUAGCAUCAAAUAUAAACAAACCGGAAAAUAUGAAACACGGAGCGAACGAAACAAUAGGCAAAUACAAGAGGUCAAAGAAUACGAAAAAAAAACAAGAGCGCUACUAAUACUACUAGAAAAAAACGGGGAACUCCGAC